UACAGAGGUCUCAAGCGUUGUUCGGAUUCAUUGGGCGUAAAGGGUGCGUAGGCGGCGCGGUAAGUCGGGUGUGAAAUCUCGGAGCUUAACUCCGAAACUGCGUUCGAUACUGCCGUGCUUGAGGACUGGAGAGGAGACUGGAAUUCAUGGUGUAGCAGUGAAAUGCGUAGAGAUCAUGAGGAAGACCAGUGGCGAAGGCGGGUCUCUGGACAGUUCCUGACACUGAGGCGCGAAGGCCAGGGGAGCAAACGGG
rnacentral:rRNA from 1 species